rnacentral:rRNA from 1 species
UGGGGAAUUUUGGACAAUGGGCGAAAGCCUGAUCCAGCAAUGCCGCGUGUGUGAAGAAGGCCUUCGGGUUGUAAAGCACUUUUGUCCGGAAAGAAAUCCUUGGCUCUAAUACAGUCGGGGGAUGACGGUACCGGAAGAAUAAGCACCGGCUAACUACGUGCCGGCAGCCGCGGUAAUACGUAGGGUGCAAGCGUUAAUCGGAAUUACUGGGCGUAAAGCGUGCGCAGGCGGUUUGCUAAGACCGAUGUGAAAUCCCCGGGCUCAACCUGGGAACUGCAUUGGUGACUGGCAGGCUAGAGUAUGGCAGAGGGGGGUAGAAUUCCACGUGUAGCAGUGAAAUGCGUAGAGAUGUGGAGGAAUACCGAUGGCGAAGGCAGCUCCUGGGGCCCAAUACUGACGCUCAUGCACGAAAAGCGUGGGGAGCAAAACAGGAUUAGAUACCCUGGUAGUCCACGCCCUAAAACGAUGUCAACUAGUUGUUGGGGAUUCAUUUCCUUAGUAACGUAGCUAACGCGUGAAGUUGACCGCCUGGGGAGUACGGUCGCAAGAUUAAAACUCAAAGGAAUUGACGGGG